UAAGUUAGGUUUAUGGUACAAUCUAAUUAACGAGUGUUUUUAUAGUAAAAUCGAAUUAUCUAAUUCCUCCAUUAUUAAAGAAAAUCAAAGGAAUAAAUCAUUAAUCGGAAAAUAAAAAAUAAAAUAAAAAGAAAUGCACCACUUUUAAAAAAAUAAAAACAUGAACUACAUUUGUUGGAAUUCGAAGCAUGUCCUGAAUUAUUUUUCUAAAUGACAAGGAUACACAUUGACAUAAUUAAAAUG
rnacentral:lncRNA from 1 species